AAACAAAGGGGGAUUUGGUUUUGGACGAAUUUAAAACAAAACAAACUUUGUAAUUAGAACAGAUUGUAAAAACGAAUUUGAUUUAAAUGGGUGAAUGGAAGGCUAGCUAAGGGGUUCAUCUCCACACAUGUUUAUACUUGCAUACAAAACGAUUUCCAAUUGCUUUUCAAUAAACCAUGAAUUCUCAACGCCCCAAAGUUAAUUAGGUCCGCUUAAAU
rnacentral:lncRNA from 1 species